UACGUAGGGGGCAAGCGUUGUCCGGAUUUAUUGGGCGUAAAGAGCGUGUAGGCGGCCAGGUAGGUCUGCUGUGAAAACUCGAGGCUCAACCUCGAGAUGUCGGCGGAAACCAUCUGGCUAGAGUCCGGAAGAGGAGAAUGGAAUUCCCGGUGUAGCGGUGAAAUGCGCAGAUAUCGGGAAGAACAUCGGUGGCGAAAGCGCUCUACUGGACGGUGACUGACACUCAGGGACGAAAGCUAGGGGAGCGAAUGGG
rnacentral:rRNA from 1 species